UUAUUUCAGUCUUUGUUCAUUCCUUGGACCCCAAGGAUUUCAACUUGUUCUUUACUCUACAUGUAUACAAAAGCAUCCACAAUUCCAGUUAGAUUUCAAUAAAAACAAAGUCCCCUUUCAAAUUCCACCACCUCCCUUGUUGUGUUCCUGUUUCGGACCACCACUGCCUACCAUCAACCACCACCAUCAGUGGUUGUCGCCACCCUAAAUCACCGGUCACCCCACCUGUCUUCAUCGCCGGCAAGAAACCGACCCAAAACAUCCACUCCAUCUCCCCUGCUUUUCCCUCUUCGCACACCCCUGUUUCUUUCUCUUUUUCUCCUCCGGCGUACCACCAACGGUGCGACCACCACCCCUCAGCCACCUCCCUUGCUGAUUGCGCUACUAACCUCGCCGGAAAACCACCGCAGCCACCCCCCCGAAACUACCACACCAACACACAAAAAAAAUCCCUUGUUUUCCCCUGUUUCGCGCGACCACCCUCCCCCUCCCUUGUUGUUUCUCCGCCGCGGAACCACCCCACCACCACCGUCCACCCUCACCACCUUAUUCACUGACCUCCGCCACCCACAAUUCCCGACAAGCCGCCGCCCAGACCCAACCAAGAAGCACCCUAUUUCCCUGUUUUUCUUUCGCACAACCGAGCCCAUUUUUCCCCUUCUCUCGCCUGUAUCACCGCCGCUCAGCCACCACCAUCGGCGUCGCAUCACCAGCGCUGCGCCUCCCAGCUAUCGGCCCCUCUCCUCUCCUCUCCUCUCCUCCUCCCCUUCGUGCUCCAUUGUUUCGCACUCCCUCCCCUUUUUGGUCGGCUUCCAGGAACCAGAAACCAAAAUACGUUUUAUUGUUUUAGCAAAUCCAAAACAAAAGGGUUGGGCCCAAUUUUAAUAUUUGGGUUUUGAAAUUGGACUCGGGGCUCAGGAAGAACGAUCCAUCAGACGGGAAGUAGAAAACUUCGGUUGAGGUACUGCGGGGAACAAUGGACACGAGUAGUGGCGAGGAACUUCACUUUAUUAAUAUUCACCUAGUUCAUGCUUAAUGUUUUAAUAGUUUAAUUAAAGACUUUUAGUAAUUUAUGUACUUGUAUUUUGGGAAUAUAAAGGAUUAUUAUAAUAAUUUGGGUUUUGAUAGCUUAUGUUAUGAUAGUUGCCUUGUAA